UAAGGAUUUAAGUUAAUUUAAACUGCCAGCCUUCAAAGCUGGAAAUAGAAUAAGGUUUCUAAGCCUUAG
rnacentral:tRNA from 1 species